GACGAACGCUGGCGGCGUGCUUAACACAUGCAAGUCGAACGGAAAGGCCUCUUUCGGGGGGUACUCGAGUGGCGAACGGGUGAGUAACACGUGAGUAACCUGCCCUUGACUUUGGGAUAACUUCAGGAAACUGGGGCUAAUACCGGAUAGGAGCUCCUGCUGCAUGGUGGGGGUUGGAAAGUUUCGGCGGUUGGGGAUGGACUCGCGGCUUAUCAGCUUGUUGGUGGGGUAGUGGCUUACCAAGGCUUUGACGGGUAGCCGGCCUGAGAGGGUGACCGGCCACAUUGGGACAGAGAUACGGCCCAGACUCCUACGGGAGGCAGCAGUGGGGAAUAUUGCACAAUGGGUGGAAGCCUGAUGCAGCAACGCCGUGUGCGGGAUGACGGCCUUCGGGUUGUAAACCGCUUUCGCUCAUGACGAAGCUUUGUGUGACGGUAGUGGGUAAAGAAGCACCGGCUAACUACGU
rnacentral:rRNA from 1 species